GCGUCGAUGAUGCAGCGGUUAGCAUACGCUCCUGAAAAAAGUGAGAUCUGGGGUUUGAAUCCCGGCUGACGCA